AUUGAACGCUGGCGGCAUGCCUAACACAUGCAAGUCGAACGGUAACAGGCCUUCGGGCGCUGACGAGUGGCGAACGGGUGAGUAACGCGUAGGAAUAUACCUUUUUGUGGGGGACAACUCGGGGAAACUCGAGCUAAUACCGCAUGUGCUCUUCGGAGUAAAGCUGGGGACCUUCGGGCCUGGUGCAAAAAGAUUAGCCUGCGUCCGAUUAGCUAGUUGGUAGGGUAAAGGCCUACCAAGGCGACGAUCGGUAGCUGGUCUGAGAGGAUGAUCAGCCACACUGGGACUGAGACACGGCCCAG
rnacentral:rRNA from 1 species